UGAAAUAAAAACAUAGAAAAGAGGCAGAAAAUUUAAUUUUGGAAAAAAGAAAUUAAACUGAAGACGAGAAUUAUGAAGAUAAUGUUCAGGAACGUGAAAAGAAAUUUGAAGAGCGUGAGGAGCCAAUUUUCGUAUGCCUUCGAUGAUUUGGUGCAGCAAAAUGAGGCAAUACUCAAACAAUAUUUUUCCAAUAACCUAUUUUCAGAAAGAAUUUAUUGCCAAAACCGGCGGUGAAGGACCUGCACAAUUUAUUUGGUUCCAAAAGUUUUUUUUCAGAUAAUUUAGUCUGCCAAUACAGCUGGAUGGGGACCAAUGUAAAGCCGAGUGAAGAAAAUUCCAUUUUAGUGACGAUAAUCAAAAAUAUUUGUAAUCUUAAAUACAACAGCAAUGGCAAGGAUGUGUACACAAACCUUCAAAAAGAUUUUGCUCACGCUAAAGAACAUGUGAAA